rnacentral:rRNA from 1 species
GUCCUCAUGUGGCAUGUAUGAGGUCUGGCCUGCCCACUGAAUAGUUUUGAAGGGCCGCGGUAUAUUAACCGUGCGAAGGUAGCAUAAUCAAUAGUCUCUUAAUUUGAGGCUUGAAUGAAUGGUUGGACAUAAGGAAGACUGUCUACAACUAGCAAAAAUGAAUUUAACUUUUGUGUGAAAAGGCAUUAAUGAAUUAGUGGGACGAUAAGACCCUAUAAAACUUGAUAAUUCUUAUUAAAUUUUACGAUGUUUGGUUAAGAUGGAGUUUAGUAUUUUUAUUUUGCUGGGGCGGCAAGAAUAAAAUUGUAACUGUUCUUUAUAUGAAAUAUUUAUAUAUAGGUAUUGAUCCUUAAUUUUGGUUUAAAAGAUUAAGUUACUUUAGGGAUAACAGCGUUAUUUCUCUUGAGAGUUCAUAUCGACAGAGAUAUUUGCGACCUCGAUGUUGAAUUAAAAUUUUUUCCGGGAGCAGGAGUUCGGAUAAUAGGUCUGUUCGACCUUUGAAAUUUUACAUGAUUUGAGUUCAAACCGGUGUGAG